UGCAGUCGAGCGAACAGAUGAGAAGCUUGCUUCUCUGAUGUUAGCGGCGGACGGGUGAGUAACACGUGGGUAACCUACCUAUAAGACUGGGAUAACUCCGGGAAACCGGGGCUAAUACCUGAUAAUAUUUUGAACCGCAUGGUUCAAUAGUGAAAGACGGCUUCGGCUGUCACUUAUAGAUGGACCCGCGCCGUAUUAGCUAGUUGGUAAGGUAAUGGCUUACCAAGGCGACGAUACGUAGCCGACCUGAGAGGGUGAUCGGCCACACUGGAACUGAGACACGGUCCAGACUCCUACGGGAGGCAGCAGUAGGGAAUCUUCCGCAAUGGGCGAAAGCCUGACGGAGCAACGCCGCGUGAGUGAUGAAGGUCUUAGGAUCGUAAAACUCUGUUGUUAGGGAAGAACAAAUUUGUUAGUAACUGAACAAGUCUUGACGGUACCUAACCAGAAAGCCACGGCUAACUACGUGCCAGCAGCCGCGGUAAUACGUAGGUGGCAAGCGUUAUCCGGAAUUAUUGGGCGUAAAGCGCGCGUAGGCGGUUUCUUAAGUCUGAUGUGAAAGUCCACGGCUCAACCGUGGAAGGUCAUUGGAAACUGGGGAACUUGAGUGCAGAAGAGGAGAGUGGAAUUCCAUGUGUAGCGGUGAAAUGCGCAGAGAUAUGGAGGAACACCAGUGGCGAAGGCGGCUCUCUGGUCUGUAACUGACGCUGAUGUGCGAAAGCGUGGGGAUCAAACAGGAUUAGAUA
rnacentral:rRNA from 2 species